GUAAACGUCUUUUUGAGGGCGUGUAGAUCAUUCACGAUCAUUGAGAAUUGCUCAAACAUUUCAUCUACUUUCUCUCCUUCCUUCAUGUGGAAUAGUUCAUAAGAGUGAGUCAAGAAAUUAAUUUUAGCUUCUCGUACCUGGUCGGUUCCUUCAUAUGUCACUUCAAGCUUAUCCCACAUUUCUUUUGCUGUUUUGCAACAUGAUAUCUUCCUGUAGUCGUUAGCAUUAACAGCACAAUAUAAUAAAUUNNNN
rnacentral:lncRNA from 1 species